rnacentral:rRNA from 1 species
UACGUAGGGUGCAAGCGUUGUCCGGAAUUAUUGGGCGUAAAGAGCUCGUAGGCGGUUUGUCGCGUCUGCUGUGAAAAUCCAGGGCUCAACCCUGGACCUGCAGUGGGUACGGGCAGACUGGAGUGCGGUAGGGGAGAUCGGAAUUCCUGGUGUAGCGGUGAAAUGCGCAGAUAUCAGGAGGAACACCGGUGGCGAAGGCGGAUCUCUGGGCCGUAACUGACGCUGAGGAGCGAAAGCAUGGGGAGCGAACAGG